rnacentral:lncRNA from 1 species
GAGUACGCGGGGCGUACCUCGGAUCAGAUCGGUGACUCCUUCGGAUAAUGCUUCCGAAUUUUGAAUUAAAAAUAAAUACAAAAUGAUUAAUAAACUUCGGAAAUUCAUAACUUCUUCAUACGAACUCCGUUUUCGACGUUCUUUAUAUCCACGCGAAGGUGAGACCACGCUCUACGACUUUCGUUUAGACUCCGUCGGCUAAUUUUGACUUUAUUUUUAUUAAUUAUUUUUAAUAGGCCGGGACAGAAACUUUCGUUAUAAAUUCAUAACUUCUUCGUUUGACGUCCGUUCUCGCCUAACUUUUUAUCGUUUCAAUACCAACAAUGAGAUCUUCGAUUCUCAUUUAGAUUGCUUCGGCUAACAACCGCUCGAUCUCAAAUCGAGUAAAACAGGCUGUAUAUCGCUAAGCCGGAACUUCGAUAAAUCAUAACUUCCUCAUACGAAGUCAGAUUUGGGCGUUCUAUAUAUAUUCGGAAACCUCGUUUCAACUACUACAACAUUAACCAAAGAUAUUAAGUUUAUUUUACACUUAAAUUUUGACGCUUAUUUUUAUUCUUAAUUAAUCAAACCACAUAAUUAAGCAAUUAAGCACAAAACACAUAAUACUCAAAUAAUACAAUCUUAUUAUUUCAAAACGGGUUACAAAGGUUAACCUAGACUAUUACAUUGCUAAAAAUGGCAAGCCCGGAAACACAGGCGUUACAAUUCUCUCCACCUUAGAAUGAUUCCGUCCCCGGAAUCACACAUCAACAAACAAAUGCGGAUAGCGACUCAACAUGUCACUCUCCGUCUCCCAGGUGAGAUUCGGCCCAUUCGUGUGUUUCCAUCGGACAAGCACUAACCCAACCAUUUUGCGUCGCAACUUCUUAGUCUUUCGGUCAACAAUUGCCUCUGGUUCUUCAAUCAACCUUUUGUUCUCAUCAAUUCUCAAUUCAGAAAUUGGAAUUAUAUCGGGAACUUCUCCCGUGAACUUCCUCAAAUAACACACAUGAAAGGUGUUGUGAAUUCCAUUCAGUUCUUCGGGUAAUUCGAGCUUGUAAGCUUGAUUCCCAAUCCUCUGAAGGACUUUAAACGGUCCAAUAAACCUUGGACUCAACUUUCCCCUUUUACCAAAUCUUAUAAGUCCCUUCCACGGCGAGACUUUAAGCAAAACCGAAUCUCCAACCUCAAAAGUCAUCGGUCUUCGCUUCUUGUCAGCAUAGCUCUUUUGACGAUCUUGAGCUGCUAACAUUCUUUCCCUAAUUAUUUUCAACUUUUCAGCAGUUUGAUGAACCAUCUCCGGUCCCAUAAACUGCUUUUCCCCAGCCUCAAGCCAACAAGACGGCGUACGACACUUCUGUCCAUACAAAGCUUGAUAAGGUGCCAUCUUAAUGCUCGAGUGAAAACUAUUAUUAUAGGAAAAUUCUACCAACGGUAAAUGUUCAUCCCAAUUACCUAGGAAUUCCAAGGUACAUGCUCUCAGCAUAUCUUCAAGUGUUUGUAUUGUUCUUUCACUCUGACCAUCAGUCUGCGGAUGGUAAGCUGUGCUUAAACAUAACUUGGUACCCAUUUCCUCUUGUAGACUUUUCCAAAACCUUGAGGUGAAACGGCUAUCACGAUCCGAUACAAUCGUUAACGGAACACCGUGAAGCCUCACAAUUUCCUUCACGUAAGAAUUCGCAAGCUUUUCCAUAGACCAUUUCUCCCUGGCCGCUAUGAAAUGCGCACUCUUAGUGAAUCGAUCAACGACCACCCAAAUCAUGUCGUGACCAUUCUUUGUUCUGGGCAGUUUAGUGACAAAAUCCAUAGCAAUGUCUUCCCACUUACCCAUAGGCACAGGCAAUGGUUCUAAACUCCCGUAAGGUUUCUGAUGUUGUGUCUUGACUCUCGCACAAGUCACACACUCGGCCACAUACUUUGCAACAUCAAGCUUCAUCGUCGGCCACCAGUAGUAGGGUUUCAGGUCCCUAUACAUUUUAGUGCUACCCGGAUGAAUUGAGUACAUGGUUUUGUGAGCUUCUUCCAUCAGAAGAUCCCUAAUUCCUCCUGACUUAGGUACCCAAAUACGAUCUUGGAAUACCUUCAGUCCAUGACCGUUAGUACCAAACACCAACGUUUUACCCAAACGUUCCUCCUUUCGGUCAUUUUUCUCAGAAGCUUCCUCUUGAGCUUUCUUUAUACUUUCCACAAUAGUCGAGACAACUUCAAUUCUCAACGCUCUUGGCCUCUUCCUUUCAAGAUUGACUUUCCGACUGAGAGCAUCAGCAACAACAUUAGCUUUACCGGGGUGGUAAAGUAUCUCGCAGUCGUAGUCUUUAAGUAAUUCUAGCCAGCGUCGUUGCCUCAUAUUCAAUUCUUUCUGAUUAAAGAGGUAUUGGAGACUCUUAUGAUCAGUGAAAAGUUUGCACUUCGUGCCAUAGAGGUAAUGCCUCCAUAUUUUCAGAGCGAAAACUACCGCUGCCAACUCCAAAUCAUGAGUCGGGUAAUUCUUUUCAUGCUCUUUCAGCUGUCGAGACGCAUAUGCUAUCACCUUUUCUCUUUGGGUCAAAACACAACCCAAUCCAACACCAGACGCAUCGCUAUAAACAGCGAAGUCUUCAACUCCAUCGGGUAGAGAAAGUAUCGGUGCCUCGCAUAGCUUCUUCUUUAACUUCUCGAAUGCUUCUUUAUGCUUCUCACUCCAAGCAUAAGUAGCUCCUUUGUGGGUCAAAGCUGUUAAUGGAGUAGCAAUCGAAGAAAAGCCUUGGAUAAACCUUCGGUAAUAUCCGGCUAAUCCUAAAAAGCUUCGAAUCUCCGUGGGACUUUUCGGUUGUUCCCACUUCGUCACAGCUUCGAUCUUCGCUGGAUCAACCAUUAUCCCUUCUUGGUUGACCACGUGACCCAAGAAUUGGACCUCACGAAUCCAAAAAUCACAUUUGGAGAACUUCGCAUAAAGCUUCUCCUUCUUCAAAACUUCUAACACUUCUCGCAAGUGUCUGCCAUGCUCCUCCUGGCUUUUCGAGUAGAUCAGAAUGUCGUCUAUGAACACUAUCACGGAUUUAUCAAGGAAAGGAUUACAAACCCUAUUCAUCAAAUCCAUGAACGCUGCUGGAGCAUUGGUUAGUCCAAACGACAUAACCAAGAACUCGUAGUGUCCAUAUCUAGUUCUGAAUGCAGUCUUCUCGAUAUCUUGCUCUCUUACUUUCAGCUGAUGAUAUCCUGACCUAAGAUCGAUCUUCGAGAAAUAGCUCGAACCUUGCAAUUGAUCAAACAGGUCAUCAAUCCUCGGCAACGGAUAUCUAUUCUUUAUUGUUGCCUUGUUCAGCUCUCUGUAAUCGAUGCACAUUCUCAUACUUCCAUCUUUCUUCUUUACAAAUAACACCGGAGCUCCCCAGGGCGAUGAACUAGGUCUAAUGAAACCUUUGUCCAAUAACUCCUGAAGUUGCAUCAUCAGCUCCUUCAUCUCCGUCGGUGCUAAUCGAUAAGGUGCUUUUGCUAUUGGCGUGGUUCCUGGUAACAAGUCUAUUCUGAACUCCACUUGUCUAUCAGGUGGUAAUCCAGGAAGAUCCUCGGGAAAUACUUCCGGAUAAUCACACACCACUGGAAUGCUCUGCAUCACCUUCUUUUCUUUCUUAGCAUCAAUCACGAAUGCUAAAUAUGAUGUACAUCCCUUGGUCAAACACUUUCUGGCUUUCAUUAGAGAAAUGAUUCCAGAAUUCACUCUGCGUUUGUCCCCAUACACCAUAAACGAAUCUUUCCCAGGCGGGUUUACUUUAACUAUCUUCUUCUUGCACAAAAUUUCGGCAUCAUUGGCGCUAAGCCAAUCCAUUCCCAAGACGAUGUCGAAACCAUUUAGUUCGAUAGGCAAUAAUUCCUCGAGAAACUUAUUCCCAUUAAGGUCGAUCAAGACGUUUUUCAUACGAUGGCUAACAGGUACAAACUUGCCACUAGCUACUUCGACUAAUAAAGCAUUAUCUAGUCUAUCAACAGGCAAAGCUAGCUUUCUACCAAACUCAUGCGAAAUAAAGGAGUAGUUGGCUCCAGAAUCAAACAAUAUAUGAGCAGGUAAUUCGUUUACGAGAAAGGUACCUGAAGCGACAUCAGCUUCAUCUUUCGCAGCCUCAAGUGUCAUCUGGAAGGCUCUCGCCUUCGGCUUUGGUGGAAUGUUGGGCCUAGCUGCCUCCUUCUUCUUCGGACAGUCUUUCAAAAUAUGCCCCUCUUCAUUACACCCAAAACACAUCCUUUUGUUGUUCGGACAUUCAUUGGCAAAAUGUCCAACCUUUCCACACUUGUAGCAGGUCACAUCCUCGCUACAUUUCCCAAAGUGCUUUUUCUUACACUUAUCACACCACUUUGCUUCGCCUCCUUUUCCUCCAAACUUUUUCGAAUCAGAUUUCGAAAAUUUGCUCUUCUUACUGGAACCAGAUGUUCCUUCAAACUUCCUUUUCUCACCAACCUCAACCUUGACGGUGGUUCUCCCCUUGAUCAUGUUCUCCACAGACUUGGCAGCCCAGAUAGCUGCCUCUAGAGUAAGUGCCUGACGUACCGGCACCUCGUACUCCCAUGGAAGUCCCUUCGCAUACCGAUCCACCUUUGUCAGCUCGUCUGGAACGAUACGCAAGGCAAACUCCAUCUUAUCGGUGAAGUUAUUGGUGUACUCAUCCACUGACAUGCUACCCUUCGUCAAUGUCAAAAACUUGUUCUCCAACUCCAACAGAUUUUGAGCCGAGCAGAACUUGCGCUUGAACUGCACCAAGAACUCUGCCCAUGACAAUUGCAGUGGCUCAUUAGGGCUUAAGGUCUUCCCUAGAGUGUUCCACCAACGAACGGCUCCACCUCGGAAUUGUCGCACGGCAUAGAUAGUCUGCAACUUGCCUCUACAGCCACAUGUCAUAAAGGCUAACUCCAUUUCGGAGAUCCAAUCCAUAACCCCAAUCGGAUCCUCCUUUCCAUUGAAGGUCGAUGGUUUACAAGUCAAAAAGUCCUUGUACUUGCAUCCCAUUCCAUCAUUCCUUCCAUCAUGGUUAUCUUGCCUAACUAUCGGUGGGUUGGCUGGACCAACAGACCCACUGAAGUUUCCACCUUCCGAGUGCCCUUCAUUCAGUUCAGGCUCUUCCACACGAAUCGACAGUUCUUCACGAUUUUGUUGAAGCAACCGUCUAGUUUCAUCCAUCUGACGAUCCAACAUCGUCUGAAUCAUCAAUUGCACACCAGCCAUGGUUAUUGGCUCAGGUGCUGCUGCUACGACAGGUAUUGGCUCAAUCACUGGUGGUUGAUUCCUGUUUUCGUCAGCAUUUCCAACUCCACUUCUUGUUCUCACCAUUUUGAUCUACACCGAAUAAGGUGAAAUUAGAUCCUCAAUCAUGAUAGAUAUUCAAAUCAUCCUUAUCACUCCGAAACGUUUACAUGCUAGUUCUAAUAUCGUAGACGUACGCUUAGAAUCCUACACACAUAAGGUUUCUAGAUCCGGUCGGCAACAGACCAUAGAUCCGAACAAAUAAUAUCAUAUAUGGCAACAUAUAACAUUUAGCACAUAAAGCAUUUUAGGCAACUUUCCUAAAAUAAACUAGUGCUCGUGUCUAAAUCACAACAGACACACAUCUCAAAACUUCACUUAGCAUUCUAAGUUUAAGUCUAGAAAUCCUACAAAUUCCUAGUUCGCUUAAACUAAUGCUCUGAUACCAACUGUGACAUCCCCAAAAUCUCGGCCAGAAAAGACCGAUUUUCAUUUAUGCUUUUAAAUAUUUUCAGAGUAAAUCCUUUUGAUUUGAAAGAGUUGCGGAAUUUGUUCCCAAAAACAAAACAUGAUAAAACAUUGUUUACCGAAGCAUUUCAUAAAAGAAAUGUAUUUUCAUUAUAAUCAAAACUCGGGGUGUCAUGUUCCGAUACAGACCAAUAAGCAUAAACGAAUACAUUACAAGUCAUAUAACAAAUAUAAACAUAUGCAGACUUGUAAACAAAACAACUUGAUGGUUCAUCCAUCUCAUGCCCUUCCGCCACUACCUGUAAUACAAUUUAAAACUGAGUGGGUCAGGCUUGGGAGCCUGGUGAGCAUAUAGGGUUUUCAACCCACAAUAAAUAUCAUAUUUAAUUUUCACCAACCAACAAUAACCCAAUUACCCAUUCCCGUUAUUCUCACUUUAAUGUCCCUAAAACAACUAACAUAAGGGACCUAGUCUAAGAAUAUUUCAUCGGGGCGACAACACAUGCUUCGGGGGUACCUCAGCAAUAUAAGUCAAAUAAGGCAACCAUGAGGGGGAUGGAGUACAGCGAAUGAACACCCAAGUUCAUUAACACCUACAGGUGGCGAACCUGCUAAUGUUUCCACAAGACUGUCUAGAAUAGCCAGUGGUCGUCAUCUAAACUCCGCUAGAUGACUCAAUCAAACAACAACGAGGCCUCUCAUCUGUUUAUUACACACCAACUGUCUACCCAUGUUCUACCCAACAUAUUAGUAGAUAAAAAUAUACAUUUGUAUACAUAGUUUAAAGAAAACCUGUAUAGCAUGCUUUAAUCAACACAUAUAUCACAUAACAGAUGAGGCACACACACACAUAACACAUAUCUCAUAAAGAAAUAAGCAGAUCUAUAAGAUAGAAGAGAGUGAAUACUCAUUCACACAUAACACAACCAAAUAUAUACACAUAGCACGUAUUUUUAUAUAAAAUACUUCGUAUUAUUGUAUUAGAAGAAAUAACUACACACUCACUUGAUCAGAAGAUGAUCGGACAGCACUACGGCUUAUAGAAGUAGUAAUCCACAGCAGAUCUGGAAGAUCUCCUCGAAAAUCGAACUUCUCGCGGGCAGAGCUUCGACUCGGGAACCGCACUUUUCGGGAUCUUCGGGAUCUCGGGACUUGCCUCGGGGCUAGAGUAUAAUACCGGGGCUUCGGGAUAGCUUCGGCACGAAAAACGAUGCAAAAGACUAGAGAGAAGAGAAGAAAAUGAACAACAAAGAAGGCUGUCUUCGGAUCCUUUAUAUAGAGGCUGGAGCCUCGGAGUACGCGGGGCGUACAGGCGUACGCAGCGCGUACGCGUCCGAAAUCGUCAUUGCAUGCGUCAUCCGAAGUGUCGACACUAUGCUGAGUACGCGGUAGCGUAACCUCGUACGCGGGGCGUACUCCGGAUCACACCGGUGACUCGGCUUCGGAUAAUGCUUCCGAUUUUGAAUUAAAAAUAAAUAUAAAAUGAUUAAUAAACUUCGGAAAUUCAUAACUUCUUCAUACGAACUCCGUUUUCGACGUUCUUUAUAUCCACGCGAAGGUGAGACCAUGCUCUACGACUUUUGUUUAGACUCCGUCGGCUAAUUUUGACUUUAUUUUUAUUAAUUAUUUUUAAUAGGCCGGGACAGAAACUUUCGUUAUAAAUUCAUAACUUCUUCGUUUGACGUCCGUUCUCGCCUAACUUUUUAUCGUUUCAAUACCAACAAUGAGAUCUUCGAUUCUCAUUUAGAUUGCUUCGGCUAACAACCGCUCGAUCUCAAAUCGAGUAAAACAGGCUGUAUAUCGCUAAGCCGGAACUUCGAUAAAUCAUAACUUCCUCAUACGAAGUCAGAUUUGGGCGUUCUAUAUAUAUUCGGAAACCUCGUUUCAACUACUACAACAUUAACCAAAUAUAUUAAGUUUAUUUUACACUUAAAUUUUGACGCUUAUUUUUAUUCUUAAUUAAUCAAACCACAUAAUUAAGCAAUUAAGCACAAAACACACAAUACUCAAAUAAUACACUUUUAUUAUUUCAAAACGGGUUACAAAGGUUAACCUAGACUAUUACAUUGCUACAAAUGGCAAGCCCGAAACACAGGCGUUACAGCAGGGACUAAAAGAAAGUGAAGAGGUCGAGCAUGGGAGAAUGAAUCUG